GAUGAACGCUGGCGGCGUGCCUAAUACAUGCAAGUCGAGCGAACAGAUGAGGAGCUUGCUCCUCUGACGUUAGCGGCGGACGGGUGAGUAACACGUGGAUAACCUACCUAUAAGACUGGGAUAACUACGGGAAACCGGAGCUAAUACCGGAUAAUAUAUUGAACCGCAUGGUUCAAUAGUGAAAGACGGUUUUGCUGUCACUUAUAGAUGGAUCCGCGCCGCAUUAGCUAGUUGGUAAGGUAACGGCUUACCAAGGCAACGAUGCGUAGCCGACCUGAGAGGGUGAUCGGCCACACUGGAACUGAGACACGGUCCAGACUCCUACGGGAGGCAGCAGUAGGGAAUCUUCCGCAAUGGGCGAAAGCCUGACGGAGCAACGCCGCGUGGGUGAUGAAGGUCUUCGGAUCGUAAAACUCUGUUAUUAGGGAAGAACAAAUGUGUAAGUAACUAUGCACGUCUUGACGGUACCUAAUCAGAAAGCCACGGCUAACUACGUG
rnacentral:rRNA from 1 species